AAAAUUUUAAAGGUCGAACAGACCUAAUAUUCUAGCUUCUGCACCAGAACUUUAUUUUAAUCCAACAUCGAGGUCGCAAACUCUUCUUUCAAUAUGAACUCUCCAGAAAAAUUACG
rnacentral:rRNA from 1 species